CUUGGAGUGAAAGCGGGUCAAACAAGUCAAGCAUGGAAGAAAAGCGUAGCUCGGAUGCAAGGUACACCUUGGAUGCCGGAAGACGAUCAAGCUCAGCGAAGAACCGAACACGAUAAUGAUACACGCUUCCGCAUUUUGCUACGUUGUAAUUUUUAAACAACGAAUUCGAUCACGUUAUGUAGAAUAACUUAUGAUUUAUUAAAAGUUUUAAUAAA